rnacentral:lncRNA from 1 species
CAGCCUCCGGGUGGACCUGCAGGGGCCUGUUUGUGCUGUAGGCUUGACACGUCCAGAUGGAGUCUCACUCACUCUGUCACCCAAGCUGGAGCGCAGUGGUGUGAUCUUCAGCUCGUCCCAACCUCCGUCUCCCAGGUUCAAGCGAUUCUCCUGACCUCAAGUGAUCCGUCUGCCUUGGCAUCCCAAAGUGCUGGGAUUACAGGCCUGAGGCCAGGCCCUGAAUUAAUUUUUUGAUGUUUCACUUUGCCAGGUGUAUAAGUAACAUGUUAGUUGUGA